rnacentral:tRNA from 1 species
GGGCGGCUAGCUCAGUUGGUUAGAGCGCUGUGUUCACACCGCAGAGGUCACAGGUUCAAAUCCUGUGUCGCCCA